GACGAACGCUCGCGGCGUGCUUAACACAUGCAAGUCGAACGGAAAGGCCCUGCUUUUGUGGGGUGCUCGAGUGGCGAACGGGUGAGUAACACGUGAGUAACCUGCCCUUGACUUUGGGAUAACUUCAGGAAACUGGGGCUAAUACCGGAUAGGAGCUCCUGCUGCAUGGUGGGGGCUGGAAAGUUUCGGCGGUUGGGGAUGGACUCGCGGCUUAUCAGCUUGUUGGUGGGGUAGUGGCUUACCAAGGCUUUGACGGGUAGCCGGCCUGAGAGGGUGACCGGCCACAUUGGGACUGAGAUACGGCCCAGACUCCUACGGGAGGCAGCAGUGGGGAAUAUUGCACAAUGGGCGGAAGCCUGAUGCAGCAACGCCGCGUGCGGGAUGACGGCCUUCGGGUUGUAAACCGCUUUCGCCUGUGACGAAGCGUGAGUGACGGUAAUGGGUAAAGAAGCACCGGCUAACUACGUG
rnacentral:rRNA from 1 species